AACGCACCUUGCGCUCCUUGGUAUUCCGAGGAGCAUGCCUGUUUGAGUGUCAUUAAUAUAUCAACCCUCUUCGGCUUUUUGCAUGACGAGUGUUGGAUGUGGGGGUUUUUUGCUGGACUCUUUCUCUUGAGGUCAGCUCUCCUAAAAUACAUUAGCAAAACAAUUUGUUUGUUUACCGCUCAUUGGUGUGAUAACUAUCUACGCUAUUGACAGUAAAGCACAGUUUAGCUUCCAACAGUCCAUUGACUUGGACAACCUUUUAUCAAUGUGACCUCAAAUCAGGUAGGAUUACCCGCUGAACUUAA
rnacentral:misc_RNA from 1 species